UGGAGCGGUGGCGCGGUAUCGCGAGAGCGGCGUGCCGCGACCGCAGCGCUGGACGGCGCUGGUGGGGGCUGGAUGCGCCCACGGCUCGCCCUCUCUGUCGCUAAAUCACACGCUAGGACACGCGAUCAGGCGGUGACUGGCGGCGACAGAACCCGGGGAAAUGUUCUAGGGAACAGAGGAUUUUGGGGCUCUCCAGAUGGGAGCGGCAGUGCUGCCUAGUCAAUGUUUCUCAGACCGAAUUUGCCAAAGGACGCUUUGGACAUGCCUUUAUACCCUCAUGCAUAAAGUGCUAAAUCCGAGGAGCUAGAAAAGUAGGGACAAAAAGCUGCCACUGGCACGAGAAGCAAGUGGAUUCUGAAGUAAAACCUAACUGAAGAGGAGGAGGAGUGAGGGGUGUAUGGGUGCCAAAUCCUCUACCAAGACUCAGUGCAUCUCCAGGAACUACAAGCCUCAGUCUCUCGACCCUGUCAGUACUUCGCCUUCAUUCUCACUCGUUCCCUCUGAUGGGAGUGACAUAGUGGCCGUGGCUUCGUCUGCUGGCCUCCCGCCGUGCCCCCGCCUCACCAACCACACGGGGGCAUCCAGGUAGUAAUGUCUUGGAAGAGGAAUUACUUUGCGUCGGGUGGCGGAGCAGUAGGUGGGACGCAGGGGUUGGUCAACCCGCGAACCAUGACCUCCAUCGCACCAAGCAAAGGGCUGAGCAACGAGCCGGGACAAAACAGCUGCUUCCUCAAUAGUGCCCUGCAGGUGUUGUGGCAUUUGGACAUCUUUCGCAGAAGCUUUCGACAGCUGACCACACACAAGUGCAUGGAGGAUUCCUGCAUCUUCUGCGCACUGAAGAGCAUCUUUGCUCAGUUCCAGUUCAGCAGUGAGCGAGUGCUGCCGUCAGAUGCACUGCGGAGCGCGUUGGCCAAGACCUUCCAGGAUGAACAACGCUUCCAGCUGGGAAUCAUGGACGACGCUGCCGAGUGCUUUGAAAAUCUUCUGAUGCGAAUUCACUUCCACAUCAGCGCUGAGAGUCGAGAGGACAUCUGCACAGCCAAGCAUUGUAUCCCUCACCAGAAGUUUGCCAUGACCUUGUUUGAACAGUGUGUGUGUAACAGCUGCGGUGCCACAUCAGACCCCCUGCCCUUCAUUCAGAUGGUUCAUUACAUCUCCACCACAUCCCUCUGCAACCAAGCAGUGAGGAUGCUGGAGUGUCGGGAGAAGCCCACCCCAGACAUGUUCGGGGAACUUCUACGCAACGCCAGCAACAUGGGGGACCUGCGCAACUGCCCUAGCAACUGUGGAGAGAUGCUGCGUAUUCGCCGGGUGCUGAUGAACUCACCGGAAAUCGUGUCCAUCGGGCUGGUGUGGGACUCAGACCACUCUGACCUGGCGGAGGAUGUCAUACACAGCUUGGGGACGUGUCUGCGUCUGGGGGAUUUGUUCUACCGUGUGACAGAGGAGAGGGCUCGCCAAGCAGAGCUCUACUUGGUGGGCAUGGUGUGCUACUAUGGCAAGCAUUACUCCACCUUCUUCUUCCAGACCAAGAUCCGCAAAUGGAUGUACUUCGAUGACGCCCACGUCAAAGAGAUCGGCCCAAAGUGGAAGGACGUAGUGUCUCGCUGUAUCAAAGGCCACUAUCAGCCACUGCUGCUGCUCUAUGCUGACCCCCGUGGGACACCGGUGAUACUGCAGGACAGCGCCAACCCUUGUACCAGCUCCAACCCACAGCUGGAUCUCCAGCACUGCAGCAGCAAGGCCGGUUACGACAGCGAGGACUCUGGUCGAGAGCCCUCUAUAUCCAGUGACACCCGGACAGACUCGUCCACAGACAGCUCCAGCCACCGCACAUCACGCAGUCGGCCGCUACACCAGUCCACCGGCAGCCACCUGUCCAGUGAUUCCCAGAACACGGUGGUCUGUAAUUACAACAUUGGUACGCAGUUGCACAGUGCAGACACCAGAGAUCUAGCAGUGGAGGGUCCUCCCCGCCCUCCCUCUCCUCCUCUGCAGGAGUACAAGGAGACGGCCGUGUUCCUCCUCUCGUCUCGCCGGCCGCUCACAUCCUCCUCUUCCUCCUCUCGUCCCCUGUCGUCCUCCUCUUCCUCAGGAGUGGGUGGCUGCGAAGGUGGAGCAGGGGGGCCACACUGGGAGGAUGAGAGCACCAGUAGUGAGAGCAAAUCCAGUUCUUCUGGGGGUUGCUACAGACCGACCUGGAGGCCCAGACGAGAGGCGCUGAACAUCGACAGCAUCUUCUCCCGCCACAGUCAGCGAGGCUGCAGUGUGGGCUACCACACACUGCCAGGCCCGUCCCUCCCUCCAGAGCCAAAGCCCUGCUUCCCCCUGCAACGACCUGCGACGCCCCCCAAGCCGGCGACGCCAGAAAUAGACAGGAGAGGGGUCGGGCAGUUGGAAACAGGAUUUGGGCUGGUCGGGCAGCCUCGAUCUGUGGGUGGCGGGCGGACGAUGGGCCCCCCUGCCCCUCCACCUCUAAGAGGGGUGGAGCACCAGCCACGUUUGAUCCAGAGGAUGGAGAGUGGAUACGAGAGCAGUGAGAGGAACAGCAGCAGCCCUGACAGGGAAGUGGGACAACACAAAAGAGUUCUGAUGUCCGGACCCUCAUGGCGCUCUGUACCCAAGUCAAAGAGCAGUGGCGCCAUCUUGCAGGAACUGCCCUCACCGAGCUGUGUCAGCAGCACCUACAUGGGCUCCGGGCGCAGCGAACUGGACGAGCUGCAGGAGGAGGUGGCCAGGAGAGCCCGGCAGCAGGAGCAACAAAAACGGAGGGAAGCGGAACAGGAGGCGGCCGUGGGAUUCAACCCCAAACCCAGCAAGUUCAUGGAUCUGGAUCAGCUCCAACACCAGGCUGUGCUCAGACCCCUGCAUGAGGCUAACGCUCAUAGCGGAUUGGCUGUAGCUGCGUGCAUGAGGAGCACUGGGGGCCCAAUCAAACGCAGGCAGGAACAGGAAAUGGAGCGGGAGACAGGAAACGUCCACCCACAGGGGACCCACAGUGAACAGCCUGUCCCGGUCCAAGUACUGCUGACGCCCAAUCUGGAGGAGGAAGAGGAGCAAGCGUGGCCCACUGAGGACCCUGUUGCGGGCCCUGAACCACCGCCUCCUCCCUACCGUCCCCCACACCCUCGAUCCUCACUCACCCUUAGCAUCACCCACCCUUGCGCCCCUUCCUGCCAAGGGGUGGAGGAGAGGGCUGGAAUUGAACGUGAGGAGAGAGAGCAGGGUGGGGGAAGCGGGGUGAGGCUGUGCGAGUUGCUGCAGGCGGGCGGCGUCAGUGUCCGCCCCUUGGGGAAGCACCUGGCCAUCUCUUUGCCCUCACUUCCUCUUCGCUUCUGGGAUACUCACACCUUAAAGGCCACACACUCUGACCCUGCACACACACGCCACCCCCCUGUUCUGUCUCCCCCGUCCUCACCCAAACCUGCGGCUGCCCUCCAUCAGCGCCAGGAAGCUGCAAACUACAGCGCCCCACGCCACUGGUCCUCCUGGAGUUUAGACCGUCCUGACGCUGUCGUGACUCCAUAUGACACCCCUCCGGACCGCUGUGGUCCUGUCCAGCCGCAUUCGUUCAGGCAGAGCUGCAGCAACAGUUGCCACUCGUCUCCCAGGCACUACAGCUGCCAGCAUGCCCCGGGGCGCCGCCGUGGUCCCAGCUGUGACCAGGAGGUGGCUGAGCUGUCUGAGCUGGACUCCCUUUACCAGGCCAGUCUGCAGGCUGGAAGAGCAGGCUGCAGCCCCUCAGAGAGGCUGAUCUCCCGUGUAGGAGGUCAAACUCGGUCCAAGACCCCUAAUGCGGACAUGGAGAGGAGUGUGUACGGGUCGGACGGCACCAGCACCUCCACCUACCUCAACAAGCCACUGAUGUUGCAGGAUUGUCGGGUGGGGUCUCAUGAUGGGGAGAACAUGAGGAUUAUCGGACGCAGCCUGAGCGGGACAGUGGUGACCUCCCGCCGAAGCCGCCUGACCGCGACUCGCAGCUUUGUGAAGCAGGCUGAUGUCAGCUCCUCCCCCUGCUUGCUUCCUCUCACCUGAGCUAUUCCAUCACAUCAUCCAUCCACCUCAUCACCUUCACAUCGCCACCUCCCUCCACUGCUUCACAGGAGCUGUCGGGGCCUGCAGGGAGCUUCUGGCUGUGUCUGACAGGGGUCAAGCUUUCGUCUGACCGCAGUCCAGCCGCGCAGAACUGACGGCGGCCACCUCGACGCGUGUGGCGGGCUGCAACAUCGGCGCCCUCUAUUGGCCUUGAUUCUGGAGGAUCUCACCAAACCGCCCGCUUCUUCAACAAAUGCACGCACACACUGACGUAGACGCCUGCAGCACCUGCUUAGCCCCCUGUUGCCUUCCUCCUCCCCCUUUGACCUUCUACUCUGUCUAUGCAGUCACUCAGACCCCUCAAUAAAACCUCAGCCCCUUCCCCUGCUCCCGAAAACUAUUGGCCACCGCCCCCCCCCCGGCUCUUCUAGGUGCCCUGUGCGUUCGGGGCCGGUACUCGUGGCCGGUCCGAGCGAGGACCUGAGCUCUCUGCAGACUCCUGCACUUUCCUGGAACCCUAGCUCAGGGGGGCGGCCGGCUUGCGUAGCCACGCCUCUUCUUCUUCUUUCACGGGCAUUUGACAUGGGCCGAACCAGGUCUGUUAUCGAUGGACAGCCAUAUGUUCUGCACCUUUUCCUUUUUCGAUGUUUGUUUACGCUCUUAGUUUGCUGCGUGCGUGCACAGUAACCUGCCCGAGGACGAACUCUUGAGUCCUGUACAGACUAAACUCAUGUAUGAAACCUGUAUGUUCAUUAAUAAGACCUUAUGGAAUGUUGAUCAUGAUAAUUAACGUAAUAUGACAAACAAAUGGUACUUCCUCGAGUCUGCAUUUUAACUAGAAGUGGAGUGCACUUCACAAGUGUCUAGCUGGAGUUUCGCCACCUCCCAAAAUAACAAACGCUCGCUGACAAAUGACAGCUCUCCCAUUUUUUCUGGGAGAAUGAACAAGGAAAGUGCUUCAGUCCCUUCUCUUUACUUAAUGCUCCUUUUUGGUUUUGUUUCGUUUGUUCCGAAAUGAAAGGGCAGCUGACGUGGACUAAACGUUAUCUGAAAGUUUGCGAAUGCAAAUGAAAAAUGCUAAAGCUUUUGCGAUGCUAUGCUAGUGGCUACGAUAAGACUUUUCGUACUGCUCUGAAAAAAAAUACUUUUUUUCUCUAUUUCUUUUAAACUCAAAAAUAAUUCUUUAGUUACAAUUUAUUUUUAUUUUAUCCAAAACGUUUUGAUAUUUGCUGUCACAGUUUAAGAAGUGGAGCUUGUUGAGAAAACAAAGACCAAUACAUUGACUUGAUGACAAAAACAGAAUUCUCAAUUCGAAUUUUUUUAGCAAAUUUUCCUAUUAAGUGUUAUGUAAAAGUUAACUCUCACCUCCUAUUUUGGCCCUGCAGCGAUUGUUUUAUCGUAUCUGAGUGGAUUCCAAUCGACUUUGUGACUUAAAGUUGGGGAAUAACUGGUCACAGUUUUAUUUAUUACAAGCAUGAGUGUGUCCAUUGAUCCAACAGUUUCCUCCUUUGUUUUAGCGACCUAAACUCAAAAUCAAUAUAUUUCGUCAGUUCAACAUGAGAACAGUCGCUGAUGGUGAGUUUUUAUGACUAUGCGUUUUUUGCACAAAUGAAAGUUUAGCUUUGGAUUUCAGACAUUUCAUUGUGAGCCACUUUAUGUCAUGACAAUAUAUUCAAGACUGCUAUAUACCUAUGAUUCCUUUUGUGAAUUUAUAGUUCACAGUUAUAUAUAAUAUAUUAACAAGAUUAACUUAAAGAAAUAGCCAAAAUAUGUUUUAUUGUCUGUUACCUUGAGUGGUAUCUGCAGCCACUUUAUUUCAAAAAUUGAAGUACAGCCUGUAAAAAUCAAUGGACGUGAGUGCUGGUGCAUUAUUUUGUUCAUUAAACAAAGUGUUUGCGUGAUUUGAAUAAUAGGCUAAGAAAUUAUUUACUUUAUUAUUAGCCGUUCCACAGGUCACGUGAUGGGUCGCAUGAGGCCAGUCCACGCAUUGGUGCGGUCAUUAGGAGCAAAUCUGUAUUCUUGAUGCCAAAUUAGUUAAAAUAUGCAGUGAAGUGAGUUUGAUUCACACUUAACAUUCUUUGACAUGUUUUGCUUUAAAAAUUGCCUCGAGUGACGCCGUCAUCCUCAAGUGAUGGCUGGGUUUUGAUAAAAAUCACCAAAAGAUAUUAACUUGAUGUGUUUAGAAUGAGUGACUUGAUAGUAUCAGAAGCUCAAGCGUCAAGCAAGAAUGCUUGAAGCAAGAAAGUACAUAGCGACAGCCAAUUCUUUUCCAUUUGUAGGAGCUAUGGAGUCAAUUUGGUACUGUGUAUGACUUCAUAUUUCAUGUGUUGUACUGGCUUCUUGGUGAAAUGUCGUUCUACCCUUUAGAAAUGAAGGCAAUUGACUCACAAUAUUGCUGUCUAAACAAAUCCCUGAAAAAUUGCACAGCGUAUCUCUGGCUCUAUGUGUAAAUUGGUAAUUGAAUAUUAUCGACGAAAGGGAGUGGAAGUGCACUUUUGAAGGAUGUGUGACAAGUGUGAAGGCUGUGACAGAAGGUCUCAAGUUCAGACGGACGCCUCUUGUAUAAAAUGCUAAAUGGUUUUUAUCCUGUGAAAUAUUUAAAUGCUAUAUGUGAUAGAGGUAUAUUUUCAGGCCGUGAAGUUUAUCCAGAAUAGUCAGAGGUGAGUGAGGAACUCGGGGAUCCCCCUCUGUAGGUCUCUGAUUCUGUUUAUGAAGACAUGUGUGACUAUUUAACUAUAUGAAACAUCACUGGCCCUUUUGGAUCGAUUGUUAAUUCACCAAAGGUUUAGCUCCAGAGUGUAUUAACAUUGUUGUCUUUUGUUUAUCUUUAGCUUCAGUUCCAAUGUUUCUGUUUUGUUCCUGGGAGUUCCGGAUUCGGGAAUGUAGCCAAUUGUAGCGCAUGAGUCCGCUAUGCAAAUCAACCUUCUUUCAUGAUCCCGUUUUAGGAGGCCAACACCCCAAAACCUCUCGUGGACUCAGGCAAGAACCAGACAAGAUCUCAUGUUUAUGCUGCUGGAGAACUUUGUUGUUCCACAUCUGUGAUGGAAUACAAAAGAAGAGCAACAAGAAGAGGAUGGAGAGCGAAUGAAUGUAAACUAAAGCAGUUCGUGUGAAGGUCGGAGAGAUGAUGCACCAACUGCUGCGGGUGUUUCUGCUUGUGGAGACUGUGUGUGUCACUGCUGGGGUGGUGUUGCUCGGGGAAAGAGGGAACCUGUAUUUUUGCAAUAAAGUUAUUACCGAUGCACUCCCAUUGGAGGCGUAA